AGAUGGCGGCGGGCAGGCACCCACGUUACCAUGUCUGCGUCUGGCAGGCAAAGAGGGCGAGGAGCCCUUCCCCGGCCCUUAAAUACCGCCCGCCUCUCCCGCGAGACCCCUGUGCUGCUACCUAUUGGUCGAGCCGGCACACGUGACUCGCACCGCCCCUCGAGAAAAGGCGGGGGGGGGCAGUAGUGGCUGUUGGCUCGCCCCUCGGGGCGGCCGUUAUAGGGGGUGGGUGAUGCCGGCUCUCCUCGCCUCCCACUGGGAUAAUUGGUGGUGGGCUGCUUCCCUUGGCUCGCCGCUGCCUGGGGCGCUAAUGCUCAGCUCUGCACAAAUUAAAGAUCUGCGGAUCUCUAAUAUGCCCAAAUAAAGGUGUCUUUGGUGUGAGAUAACAGCUGCACGGCGGUUUUCAGAGGCUAAAUGCAGCUGAUCUGUGUAUAACCCCCGUAAACCCUGCCUUAGGAGGCUUAGGAUUUGUCUGCAAGGAUAGUGAGGUCCCCAGAGCAUGGCUGGAGUUCACCGAGUGGUGUGGUGGCACCAGGCCUGCUGCCCUGCGAGUCAGCACACACCAUGUCCUGGCUGGAUGCAGACUGCAGCUGUGCCGCCUCAGCCAAGGUGUACAGCCAGACUGGCACUGCUAAGAGGUUUUAUGUUGCUUCGAGACACUGUUGCAAAUAUAAACCUUCUGUGAAUACCUAUAUUGUCAGAACCUCAGGAUUCAAAAGAAGUCUUCAUGACUGUAGGUAAGACAUUCCUUCCCUGGGUAUGAGUAUUUGGAGUCGCCUAGCUUCAGGUUAUUUCAUGUGGAGUUCUCUGUGAUGACUUUUUCUACAAAGAGAUAAAUCAGUCUCCCCUUGUAAUGUAGCCAACAGGAUGAAGUGGCAUCCAGCCUUUACGUUUUUACCAUCCAUGCCAGUUAUCAUGGGAGAUUGACCAGCAAACACAGAAGUAUUUUUGGGGACAAGGAUAGUUAUGGACAUUUGUUACAAGAACAGUACUUAAGAUUCAGGUACCUAUGUGCUACCUUUGUCCCCCUCAGGUCACCUCUUGAUGAAGUUGAGCCAUUGCUUUUUGCUAGUGUGAGGGGUUAGCAGGUUCUGCAUGUGCCCAGGAAAAACUAUCAAGCACCUGGCCAACCAUGUCAGCAGACUGUUAGGUCUGAUUAUAAGACCCAGGCACCUCUGAUGUAGGCAGUCAUUGGGAAGAGUAUUUGGAGGUUUGCAUUUUGAACUUUAAGUGACAGCUAUGGGCCUGUGUUAUUUAGUGGAUUUAAAGCUGAUUUUUGUAAAAGUUUCUCUGGUGAUCUAAAUCCAGCUGCUCAGGUCUUGAAGAUUGCUGCUCUAAUCAUCAAAGUCUCUUUAAGAGAUGCAUGAAUUUAAUCUCAAGGUCAUUGAUACUUUGAUAUUUGAUACUUUUCUAAGCUGUCAGAACUUCAUUUGUUCGAAAACAUCACACCAAGCUCCUUAAAAGGCACAAUUAUUACAAAUGUUUCAUUUCAAUUUCACUGUUUCUAUUCACACUGAUAUGAAGGAAAACCAAGCAAGGAAAAUCUUGGAUGUGGUCAUCGGUCUUUGCUGAUGGAUGUCAGUAGCUAUCCACAUGGUAGAUUUGGGACCUGACCAAGCAGCCUUCUUUAUUUUAUUUCUUUAUUUUUUAACCUAUGUGUCCAAUGCAAUAAGACUGUGCCUGAAAAACAAAAACAAAAACUGUGGGAUGCAAUUUAAUAGAAGUGUAAUUUGAUUAAUUUAUGCCACAAUUUACAUAAAAUGAAAGGGCUAUUUUAAAUUCAUGCUCAAAAUAGACUAAGUGCCACUUUCAGCCUGUCUACUGUCAAAAUAUCCUUUGUGGUUUGUUCUCAGUGUGUAUGUUAGUUAAAAUUAGAGCCUGUAGAAUAGAACAAAAAUAAUAAAUAAAGUCUUUGGAGAAGAGGAGGGCAAGUCAGACUUGUUAUUUCCUUUCCAGAGGCAGAAAUAACAAUACAUUUCUGUUAGAAAUGUUUUCUGUUAUUUUUCCUCAGUGAGUCUUUUCUUGUUUGGUAAAUUACCUCCAUGGCUAGAAGAUUUGGUCAUCUCUUUCUAGGCAACACUUAAUGAUUAAGACUCAAACAGUGUUUUUCCAACUGAAAGCACAUUUUGUGUAGGUAAGAAAAAUGCCAGUAAAGUUCACUGGUGAACUUGCUGAAGUACCUUAUAAAGAGGCCAUUCUACAGGCACCUACCAUAUGGAAAUACAUGGGGAAUAUUUUAAAUUGAGUAAUGUGUAAGGGAAGAUUAAUAUUUGGUAAAUCAGUAAACCAGUAGCCUAAUAUAUAGAAGUUCUCUUAUUGUUGCUGUUCAAAGCUCCUAAUUCAUUUUUUUGAGAUGUAAUUUAGCAGCAGAAAAAAGCAAGAGUAAGAUAUUAUGAGAUAAUCACACCUCUAGGCCAUUAUCGAGCAACAAACUGACUGUAAAGGCCUCAACUGCCUGCUUGUAAAUUAAAUUGUUUAAUGGUUAUGACUGUAGAACUGUGAACUAUUAGCUCCUUUUGUCUACUCAGUAGGCUUCUGGUGUAUUUGCAUCUAUCUUUUGCUGUCUUUGGACCUUUGAAUCUGAUAUUUAAUGGCAAAAAAAAAGAAAUGGAGUCAGAUGCUGUAAAUGCAUUUUUUCUUCUGUAAAACAGGACUUUUUGAGAAAAAGGAAGGGAUAGUACUCCCUCUCUGCCAGCUGGUAUAACGUUUAUAUUAGCAAAGGUAGGCUAGAUUCACAGAUGAAUUUAAUGUAAACUUCUAUCUUCUAUGCUUUAUAUUUGGUAGGUAACAAUAUGACUUGCUAAGAUUCUAUAGAUAAUGAUUACCGUGUUUUAAAUUAAAAAAAAAAAAACAACAACUCAGAUAAUUUGAAGAAAUUGGUAGAGGCAGCUGUAAAGCUGAUAGUGUCUUUAAGAAGAAAGUUGGGGCUUUAUUGGACUAAGGGCCACUCCAGACCCCCUUGCCAUCACACACACACACAUUUUCCUUGGACAGCUAUGUUUUUUUUGUGGGACUACAACCUGCUCUUAUCAUUAGAACUUCAGAAGUAAAUAGAGUGGCUUCUGUUGACCUGCUGUGAAGCAUGCACCAUGGCCUCAGUCCAUGGGCUGCAAGCUGGCAUUUGGCACUGUACUGAAGUUCCCAAUCUGUUCUGCAAUGGGGGCCAAGCUUCAUGGAAAAUUUCUGUUUGUAACAUUAGGAAGGGAUUGUCAUGAGAUUUA